CGGGUCAGCAGAGGGAAGGCAAAGACCGCGAGGCGGAGCAAAUCCCUAAAAAGCCGUCCCAGUUCGGAUCGCAGGCUGCAACCCGCCUGCAUGAAGUCGGAAUUGCUAGUAAUCGUAGGUCAGCAUACUACGGUGAAUACGUUCCCGGGCCUUGUACACACCGCCCGUCAAACCAUGAGAGUUGGCAACACCCGAAGUCGGUAGUCUAACCGCAAGGAGGACGCCGCCGAAGGUGGGGUUGAUGAUUAGGGUUAAGUCGUAACAAGGUAGC
rnacentral:rRNA from 1 species